AACGAACGCUGGCGGCAGGCCUAACACAUGCAAGUCGAGCGAGAUCUUCGGGUCUAGCGGCGGACGGGUGAGUAACGCGUGGGAAUAUGCCUCUUGGUACGGAAUAGCCUCGGGAAACUGGGAGUAAUACCGUAUGUGCCCUUUGGGGGAAAGAUUUAUCGCCAAGAGAUUAGCCCGCGUUGGAUUAGGUAGUUGGUGGGGUAAUGGCCUACCAAGCCGACGAUCCAUAGCUGGUUUGAGAGGAUGAUCAGUCACACUGGGACUGAGACACGGCCCAGACUCCUACGGGAGGCAGCAGUGGGGAAUCUUAGACAAUGGGGGCAACCCUGAUCUAGCCAUGCCGCGUGAGUGAUGAAGGCCUUAGGGUUGUAAAGCUCUUUCAGCUGGGAAGAUAAUGACGGUACCAGCAGAAGAAGCCCCGGCUAACUCCGUG
rnacentral:rRNA from 1 species